UACAGAGGUCUCGAGCGUUGUUCGGAUUCAUUGGGCGUAAAGGGUGCGUAGGUGGCGCCGUAAGUCGGGGUGUGAAAUUUCGGAGCUUAACUCCGAAACUGCAUUCGAUACUGCGGUGCUUGAGGACUGGAGAGGAGACUGGAAUUCAUGGUGUAGCAGUGAAAUGCGUAGAGAUCAUGAGGAAGACCAGUGGCGAAGGCGGGUCUCUGGACAGUUCCUGACACUGAGGCACGAAGGCCCAGGGGAGCAAAACGGG
rnacentral:rRNA from 1 species